rnacentral:rRNA from 1 species
UCCUUUUGUAUAUAAUUUAAGGUCUAGCCUGCCCACUGAAAUUUUAAAUGGCCGUGGUAUUUUGACCGUGCUAAGGUAGCAUAAUCAUUAGUUUUUUAAUUAAAAACUGGAAUGAAAGGUUGGAUGAGAAAAUAGCUGUCUCUAUUAAAUUUAAUUAGAAUUUUAUUUUUAAGUUAAAGAGCUUAAUUAUUAUUAAAAGACGAGAAGACCCUAUAGAGUUUAAUUAUUUAGUAAAAAUUAUAUUUUAGUAUUAAUUUAUUUAUUUUAUUAAAUAAUUUAAUUGGGGUGAUUGAAAAAUUUAAUUAACUUUUUUUAUUUAAGAACAUUAAUUUAUGAAUAAAUGAUCCAAUAUUUUUGAUUAUAAGAUAAAAUUACCUUAGGGAUAACAGCGUAAUUUUUUUAGAAAGUUCAUAUUAAAAAAAAAGAUUGCGACCUCGAUGUUGGAUUAAAAUAAAUUUUUGGUGUAGAAGCUAAAAUAUUAGGUCUGUUCGACCUUUAAAAUUUUACAUGAU